rnacentral:ribozyme from 2 species
UCUGCUCUAAAAGACAUCCUCCACGCGGCGAGUAGCGGGCAACGGGAUACACUCCCGGCGAAUCGUCUUU